UACGAAGGGGGCUAGCGUUGCUCGGAAUGACUGGGCGUAAAGGGUGCGUAGGCGGGUCUUUAAGUCAGGGGUGAAAUCCUGGAGCUCAACUCCAGAACUGCCUUUGAUACUGAGGAUCUUGAGUUCGGGAGAGGUGAGUGGAACUGCGAGUGUAGAGGUGAAAUUCGUAGAUAUUCGCAAGAACACCAGUGGCGAAGGCGGCUCACUGGCCCGGUACUGACGCUGAGGUGCGAAAGCGUGGGGAGCAAACAGG
rnacentral:rRNA from 1 species